GACGGAGGAUGCAAGCGUUAUCCGGAAUGAUUGGGCGUAAAGCGUCUGCAGGUGGCCGUUCAAGUCUGCUGUCAAAGACCGGGGCUUAACUUCGGAAAGGCAGUGGAAACUGAACAGCUAGAGUAUGGUAGGGGCAGAGGGAGUUCCUGGUGUAGCGGUGAAAUGCGUAGAGAUCAGGAAGAACAUCGGUGGCGAAGGCGCUCUGCUGGACCAUAACUGACACUCAGGGACGAAAGCUAGGGGAGCGAAUGGG
rnacentral:rRNA from 1 species